rnacentral:rRNA from 1 species
UUGCUUCUUUGCUGACGAGUGGCGGACGGGUGAGUAAUGUCUGGGAAACUGCCUGAUGGAGGGGGAUAACUACUGGAAACGGUAGCUAAUACCGCAUAACGUCCCAAGACCAAAGAGGGGGACCUUCGGGCCUCUUGCCAUCGGAUGUGCCCAGAUGGGAUUAGCUUGUUGGUGGGGUAACGGCUCACCAAGGCGACAAUCCCUAGCUGGUCUGAGAGGAUGACCAGCCACACUGGAACUGAAACACGGUCCAAACUCCUACGGGAGGCAGCAGUGGGGAAUAUUGCACAAUGGGCGCAAGCCUGAUGCACCCAUGCCGCGUGUAUGAAGAAGGCCUUCGGGUUGUAAAGUACUUUCAGCGGGGAGGAAGGGAGUAAAGUUAAUACCUUUGCUCAUUGACGUUACCCGCAAAAAAAGCACCGGCUAACUCCGUGCCAGCAGCCGCGGUAAUACGGAGGGUGCAAGCGUUAAUCGGAAUUACUGGGCGUAAAGCGCACGCAGGCGGUUUGUUAAGUCAGAUGUGAAAUCCCCGGGCUCAACCUGGGAACUGCAUCUGAUACUGGCAAGCUUGAGUCUCGUAGAGGGGGGUAAAUU